ACACUCCCAAUAAAAACAUGCGCUAGAAGCGCACCAUAAAUUUUCUUGCUUAAUAGUUCUCGUUCUCAUUUGCCUUCUUCUCUUAGCUCCUCUGUCCUCUGCUCGUUUUCUCUUUCUUUCUGGUUAAAACGACAACGAAACCAGCCCCCCAUCAUAACGCGGGAAAUCAAGAAUCGGAUCCCGAUACUACAUAUUUACCAAAUUACCCUCACCUCCUAACUUCCUCUGCAAUAUGUAUCUAUCUAUCUGGAAUUGAAUGAUCGUCUCCUUUCAAAGCUCAGACGUGUCGAAGCUUCGUCUGGACACGCCUUCCAACCCAAGCAACCCUUAACUCUCAGCCUCUCAUUUUCUCCAAUCAUCUUCUCUCUUUUCUUUACGCCUUGAUAACUCUCUUUCUCUCUCUGUUUUUUUAUUUUUUAAUGUUAUACGUAAGCUGUUGAUGCCUUGAUUUUGUUUUGGCUGCCUUGCCGGUUUCCGCUAUUUGUUUCGAUUUGCGUGUCUCUUCUCUUCAUCUCCUGCCCUUGAUUUUUCUAGCUCUUGUUAUGAUAUGAAGUUCGAUGGUGAUUGUUUCUCUUCUCUUCUUUAUCUUUUUGUUCUUCUUCUUCCUCUUUCUCUUCCGCUUUCAUGGAAUUCCAUUUCUCAAGUGAAUUGCGGUGAUUUUGGAGAUAAUUUCAGGUUCAAGCGUGGCUUAACCAGUUGUUUUAAUGGGAAAAGGCGAUAAUGCCAAAUUUGUUUUUCCUUUAACAAGUCUCCAAAUUGGGGACUUGCAGUCUUAUCUUUCAGAUCUUAGCCUUUUUGUGGCCCUUGAAAGUAAUAAAUUAUAUAUUCUGGUGGACAAUCGGCCAUGGUUGAGGGAUCUUGGUUCACUUCCAGCACACUUGUGGCAGUUGAUGGUUACCAAGUCUAGGUUAUCCCCCUUUGCAAACUCUAAGGCUCAAAGGGGGAGAAAAAAAGGAAAGGAGGCUUGUUCUGAGUCCAGUCUUACUAAAUCAAAGAAGAUUGAAAGAUGGUUCUCAUUGAUCGAUGCAGCAACUUUGCACGUAAAAGAGGCUUGCUACCUGUGAAGAAGUUACGAAAUUCUUUGUUUCUAAGCAAUGAGUUGCACCGGACCCUCUAUGGUUUUAUUGUGUUUCAAGUUUCAUGGACCAAUGUUCGAGGUAUUAACUACUUGAACGAGCUUCAGACGGACACAUCUCUGGCUCUUGAGGCUAAGAUUAUGCAGAGAUGGGAGUUUGAUAGCAUAGAGCAAGCGGCAAGUUGUAUGCCUUUGUGGUUCUCUGGAACACUUUCUGAGAAGCUACACUUGAAAAAGUAUCUAGAAUCUGCGACAGGUGAGAUCUUUUAUGAUGCCAAAGAAAAUUUCUCAAGGGCUAUCUCUAUUGAUGAUGAGGACAAUAUCUGCAAUGAUAGUCUGGGAGUCGAGGAUAUUUCUUUAUGCUGCCCAGGUGGCAAUUCUAGUGUACAUCAUGGGACCAUGGAAAAUAGAACAAGUGAUCCACACACUCCACCUACAGGCCCAUAUGAGAGAAGAAAGGUAACCAUGUCCAUCAGCGCUGGAGUAGAAGUUGAUUUUUAUUCCAAUCUAGCACAGGGUGGAACUGAAGACUUGUUAGACAACUCUGAGACCUAUACCAAUGAUUGUGAAAGCACUGUUGACGCUAAGCAGUACCGAGACGUGUUGAUUUUGUUUAGGUUCAAUGAUCGAGAUCUUCCUUUUAAACUGAAGGAGAUAGUAAUCUCUGACCUACGAUUACUUACAUUAUUAGAGGCCGGACUUCCAUCGUGGGUUCUCUUUCUUCAGUCAUAUCCUGGGUUUUGCCAUCUUUAUCGCCCCUGGAUGUGCCCUUUGGCUAGAGCUUUGUACGUUCUGAUCUCAAUUGUUACUGUUCUUAUAGGAUUUUAUGAUUUAUAUAAAAAUGUUCCAGUUCUGAAGGCAACUGCAUCCAGUUUGUGUGGACCACUUUUGGAUUGGAUAGAGACCUGGGAGAUGGUAUCAAGGAUCAAAUACUUAGGAACAAUGCUAUUUCUGCAAAACUUUCAGAAGGCCAUUACAUGGGUUUUAACUAUCACUCAUACCACUCGAUCUUUCUUUUCCAUUUUCACACAACCGUUAGUUGAACCACUUACGGAGUUCUUAGGCUUCCUCCUUCCAAUGUGGAAUGUGCUGAUUGAAGUGGUAGAGAGCUUGUGUUCUAUCGUUUGGGUUGUGACUGGAUCAUUUUGCAAUGUAGUCAUAGAUUUAAUACAGCUUACACUGUGGCCUUUAUGGCUUAUUGUAUCAAUGAUCUUGAGCAUCGCAACUACCAUUUUAUAUCCCAUAUUUUGGAUCCUUUGGGAGAUACUUUAUGCUCCAAUUCGAAUGGUCCUUGUGAUUGCCAGUUUUAUAGCCUUGCUUUGUGCUUGGAUAUCUGAAUUGAUUGGAGAUUUUUGGAGGUCUGUGAGUGGCAUUUUCCAGCUUGCUUCGGCUUCUGAGGCAACAAUGAGGACUUACGAAGUUUCCAUUUGGCAGUCACUUUGGAAUGAUCUUUUUUCUCAGGUUUUUUGUGCUCUUAGGAGUAUAUUUUAUGGUUUUGUUGCCUUCUUCACAGCCUGCAGUAGGCAUCGCCUUAGCAUUUAUAAUCAUGUGCAGGAUUUCAUCCAAAGAAUACUCGGCCAAGCCCAGAGAUCACGGCCCUCAGGUUGUAGACAUAAUAGGCCAACACGUGCACGUGGGACUCAGUCCGGCUGAAGUAAAUAGGAAAAUUCGCAUUAGGUGAGAUACAAUCAUUCUUUUUAAUACACAGACCAGAGCGAGCCUAUUUUAAAGCAGAAAACAUGGCAUCCUUUGUUACACUUGUGACAGAAGCAGUAAACAUAGUGAGAAUUUCAUUUAUUCGUUCUUGGUGUAUGUAUCUAAAUAGUCAAGUUUCCUCUUGUAAAUAGAAAUGUACAGCCAGCAAGUUACAAAUGCUGAGAAGCUUUCGAUCUUA